rnacentral:rRNA from 1 species
AACGAACGCUGGCGGCAGGCCUAACACAUGCAAGUCGAACGAACCUUCGGGUGAGUGGCGCACGGGUGCGUAACACGUGGGAAUAUACACUUCGGUAAGGAAUAACGUAGAGAAAUUUACGCUAAUACCUUAUAAUGACUCCGGUCCAAAGAUUUAUCGCCGAAGGAUUAGCCCGCGCUAGAUUAGUUUGUUGGUGAGGUAAGAGCUCACCAAGACUACGAUCUAUAGCUGGUCUUAGAGGAUGAUCAGCCACACUGGAACUGAGACACGGUCCAGACUCCUACGGGAGGCAGCAGUGAGGAAUAUUGCGCAAUGGAGGAAACUCUGACGCAGCCAUGCCGCGUGAAUGAAGAAGGCCUUAGGGUUGUAAAGUUCUUUCAAUAGUGAAGAUAAUGACGGUAGCUAUAGAAGAAGCUCCGGCUAAAUUCGUGCCAGCAGCCGCGGUAAUGUAGACGU